GAUGAACGCUAGCUACAGGCUUAACACAUGCAAGUCGAGGGGAAACGACAUCGAAAGCUUGCUUUUGAUGGGCGUCGACCGGCGCACGGGUGAGUAACGCGUAUCCAACCUGCCCAUCACUUGGGGAUAACCUUGCGAAAGUAAGACUAAUACCCAAUGAUAUCUCUAGAAGACAUCUGAAAGAGAUUAAAGAUUUAUCGGUGAUGGAUGGGGAUGCGUCUGAUUAGCUUGUUGGCGGGGUAACGGCCCACCAAGGCAACGAUCAGUAGGGGUUCUGAGAGGAAGGUCCCCCACAUUGGAACUGAGACACGGUCCAAACUCCUACGGGAGGCAGCAGUGGGGAAUAUUGGUCAAUGGGCGAGAGCCUGAACCAGCCAAGUAGCGUGCAGGAAGACGGCCCUAUGGGUUGUAAACUGCUUUUAUAAGGGAAUAAAGUGAGAGUCGUGACUCUUUUUGUAUGUACCUUAUGAAUAAGGACCGGCUAAUUCCGUG
rnacentral:rRNA from 1 species